CCAUGGGAGUCGGUAACACCCGAGCCGAUAGUCUAACGAAAGAGGACGUCGUCGAAGGUGGGAUUGAUGACUGGGGUGAAGUCGUAACAAGGUAUC
rnacentral:rRNA from 1 species